GCGCUUGCUUCGACAGCACAUAUACUAAAAUUGAAAUGAUACAGAGAUUAGCAUGUCCCCUGCUCAAGGAUACUAGAUCCAAUUUUGAAUUAACCCAAAAUAUC